UACGUAGGGGGCAAGCGUUGUCCGGAUUUAUUGGGCGUAAAGAGCGUGUAGGCGGCCUGGAAGGUCAGCUGUGAAAACUCGAGGCUCAACCUCGAGACGUCGGUUGAAACCACCUGGCUAGAGUCCGGAAGAGGAGAGUGGAAUUCCCGGUGUAGCGGUGAAAUGCGCAGAGUAUCGGGAAGAACACCCGUGGCGAAGGCGGCUCUCUGGGACGGUACUGACGCUGAGACGCGAAAGCGUGGGGAGCGAACAGG
rnacentral:rRNA from 1 species